rnacentral:misc_RNA from 1 species
GAAAAACUCCAAAAGAAGGGACUGAGCAGUGAAAGAGAAGUCAGAAAGAGGUGCAUUUGCAGAAUUUUGAUUCCAUUUUUACUGUCCAUUUCCUCUCUCUCUCUCACCUCGUGACAUCCGUCCUUCUCCACUUCUCCCCAAUCAUCAACUAUUUCUCUCCAUCCAUAUAUUACUACUAUUGCUAUUUGUGGCUUCUCGAGUACGGUUGUUGUUUUUCUUCAGUUGAACUUGCUGCUGUAAUUUGGAUCGGCCGGAAUAAAAUAAAAAUAAAACGCUCAGAUGAUUACGCACGAGCAAGAUCCAGAUGUCGUUCGGUGGGGUCUUCAGUUGUUUGACAGUGAUCCUUACUCUAACUGCGCAUAUAGUGGUGCCAUGCCCCAAAACAGCUUAGAUUACUAUCAGGACCAUUACUUCAAAGGUGAUCAUUUUAGUACAGAAUCUGGCAAUGAGGAAAAUCACAAUUUCAAUGCACAGCGUCUCCAGGAAGAACUGUCUCAGCUUUCAGUCGCUGAACCACCUUCAAUUCUCCAUCAAAUGGAAGAACAUAUACAAACACAUUUUUAUCCACAAGACUGGUUUGGUCAACCUAUGGGAAACUACAAUAUUGGAGAAGAGAACUGUGAUGAAGAAGAAACUAAUGAUGGAGCUUCCACUUCAUGCUCUAGCCCAGGAGAAGAGUCAUAUACAGGGGAGGACUGGUCAUAUUCACUUGAAUUGACGGAUGAAUAUGAUCUUGAU